ACCGUGAGGGAAAGGUGAAAAGAACCCCGGAAGGGGAGUGAAAAGCACUUGAAACCGUAUGCUUACAAGUAGUCAGAGCCCGUUAAUGGGUGAUGGCGUACCUUUUGUAGAAUGGACCGGCGAGUGACGAUUUCAUGCAAGGUUAAUCUGAAGAAGAGGAGCCGCAGCGAAAGCGAGUCUGAAUAGGGCGUGCAGUAUGAGGUCGUCGACCCGAAACCAGGUGACCUACCCAUGUGCAGGGUGAAGGUGCGGUGAAACGCACUGGAGGCCCGAACCC
rnacentral:rRNA from 1 species